rnacentral:rRNA from 1 species
UACAGAGGUCUCAAGCGUUGUUCGGAAUCACUGGGCGUAAAGGGUGCGUAGGCCGCACGGUAAGUCAGAGGUGAAAUCCCGGAGCUCAACUUCGGAAUUGCCUCCGAUACUGCCGUGCUUGAGGACUGGAGAGGAGUCUGGAAUUCACAGUGGAGCAGUGAAAUGCGUAGAUAAUUGUGAGGAACACUAGUGGCGAAGGCGAGACUCUGGACAGUUCCUGACGCUGAGGCACGAAGGCCAGGGGAGCAAACGGG